GAUGAACGCUAGCGAUAGGCUUAACACAUGCAAGUCGAGGGGCAGCACAAGGUAGCUUGCUAUCUGGGUGGCGACCGGCGCACGGGUGCGUAACGCGUAUGCAACUUGCCCUAUACAGGAGGAUAACCCGUCGAAAGACGGACUAAUACUGCGUAUGCUCACAACUUGGCAUCAAGUGGUGAGGAAAGAAAUUCGGUAUAGGAUAGGCAUGCGUCCCAUUAGCUUGUUGGUGAGGUAACGGCUCACCAAGGCAACGAUGGGUAGGGGAACUGAGAGGUUUAAUCCCCAAAACUGUAACGGGGACCGGAACAGAACUCUACGGGAGGCAGCAGUUAGGAAUAUUUGUCCAAGGGGGAGAGCCUGAACCAGCCAAGUUGGGUGAAGGAUGAACGGCUUAUGGAUUGUAAACUUCUUUUAUACGGGAAUAACAAGAGUCACGUGUGACUCCCUGCAUGUACCGUAUGAAUAAGCAUCGGCUAACUCCGUG
rnacentral:rRNA from 1 species